rnacentral:rRNA from 1 species
GAUUUACAUUUGAGUGAGUGGCGAACUGGUGAGUAACACGUGGGAAACCUGCCCAGAAGCGGGGGAUAACACCUGGAAACAGAUGCUAAUACCGCAUAACAACUUGGACCGCAUGGUCCGAGCUUGAAAGAUGGCUUCGGCUAUCACUUUUGGAUGGUCCCGCGGCGUAUUAGCUAGAUGGUGGGGUAACGGCUCACCAUGGCAAUGAUACGUAGCCGACCUGAGAGGGUAAUCGGCCACAUUGGGACUGAGACACGGCCCAAACUCCUACGGGAGGCAGCAGUAGGGAAUCUUCCACAAUGGACGAAAGUCUGAUGGAGCAACGCCGCGUGAGUGAAGAAGGGUUUCGGCUCGUAAAACUCUGUUGUUAAAGAAGAACAUAUCUGAGAGUAACUGUUCAGGUAUUGACGGUAUUUAACCAGAAAGCCACGGCUAACUACGUGCCAGCAGCCGCGGUAAUACGUAGGUGGCAAGCGUUGUCCGGAUUUAUUGGGCGUAAAGCGAGCGCAGGCGGUUUUUUAAGUCUGAUGUGAAAGCCUUUGGCUCAACCGAAGAAGUGCAUUGGAAACUGGGAAACUUGAAUGCAGAAGAGGACCGUGGAAUUCCAUGUGGAACGGUGAAAUGCGUGGAUAUAGGAAGGACCACCAGUGGCGAAGGCGGCUGUCUGGUCUGUAACUGACGCUGAGGCUCGAAAGUAUGGGUAGCAAACAGGAUUAGAUACCCUGGUAGUCCAUACCGUAAACGAUGAAUGCUAAGUGUUGGAGGGUUUCCGCCCUUCAGUGCUGCAGCUAACGCAUUAAGCAUUCCGCCUGGGGAGUACGGCCGCAAGGCUGAAACUCAAAGGAAUUGACGGGGGCCCGCACAAGCGGUGGAGCAUGUGGUUUAAUUCGAAGCUACGCGAAGAACCUUACCAGGUCUUGACAUACUAUGCAAAUCUAAGAGAUUAGACGUUCCCUUCGGGGACAUGGAUACAGGUGGUGCAUGGUUGUCGUCAGCUCGUGUCGUGAGAUGUUGGGUUAAGUCCCGCAACGAGCGCAACCCUUAUUAUCAGUUGCCAGCAUUAAGUUGGGCACUCUGGUGAGACUGCCGGUGACAAACCGGAGGAAGGUGGGGAUGACGUCAAAUCAUCAUGCCCCUUAUGACCUGGGCUACACACGUGCUACAAUGGAUGGUACAACGAGUUGCGAACUCGCGAGAGUAAGCUAAUCUCUUAAAGCCAUUCUCAGUUCGGAUUGUAGGCUGCAACUCGCCUACAUGAAGUCGGAAUCGCUAGUAAUCGCGGAUCAGCAUGCCGCGGUGAAUACGUUCCCGGGCCUUGU